GACUCGGUGGCGGAUGGUCCGCGUCUGCAAUGAUUAGGCUUUAAUCCGUACUGCAUUCGCAGAUGACGCUCGUUCGAUUUGGGCCCGAGUCA